GAAUCGGCAAACAUCUGGUCUGACGCACAGAAACUUGAUAUGAAGGCUUAAGGAUGUGGAUGAGUUUGCAUAACAAAACAAAGUCCAUAGUUAUCCGGAACAUCCGAAGUAAAUCAAGCAGACAUAAGAUGGAAAGAAUA
rnacentral:ncRNA from 1 species